UGCCCGGUAGUGUAGCGGUAGCACGUCAGCCUUUGGAGCUGAAGUCCCUGGUUCGAAUCCAGGCCGGGCAGCCA
rnacentral:tRNA from 1 species